AACCGACCCUGGUGAGGAGGUAAUUUAGUGGUUUUCAAACGUCUUUUUCUUUCCUUCCUUCCCUUUUCAGGGGCAUUCCCCAAAUAGAGUAAACAAGUCAGCGUGACCUUGGAUGAGGUCGCUUUCUCGGUCCCCAACUCAGCGUGAAACCCUGCCCCUAGUCAGACCCUUUGCAAAAGGAAACUUCCCGCCGCUGCCCGACUUCCCCAAGGCCAACCUAAAGAUAUCAGGGCCCCCAGAAGCAGCUUUUCUCCCUCGAAAAUCCGGCCUCCUGGGGGGACUCCAAGUGACCCAUGGGGUUGACUCCUGGGAUGGAAAGCAACUGUACGUCUGCCCUCUCGCUACCUCACACCCAGCCCCACCGCCCAGCGCUGUAAACAAAAAGAGUCAAGCCUCCAGAUGAGAAUGCAGAACAGAGGACACCUUGGUUUUGGCUUCAUGAAACCCUAAGCAGAGGACCCAGUUAAGCCAUGCCUAGACUCCUGACCCAGCAAAAUUGUGAGUCUUCAUGAGACAAAAACUAAUGAAGUGGUGCCCUAUGGAUCAGCCACAGGUCGAGGGCUCUCUGGGACUUCCAACUGCAUUUCUGCUUCAAAGACUGUGUAUCUGAGAUCCAUAGCCUUCAUCCCUGCAGGUCCUUUGGGAUAGUCUCUUGACUAAACCUCUGUGGCAGGACAGAAACACAGUCAACUCAGGUUGUACAACUCAAGUUGCUACUGCAAUGUGAAGAAUACUUAUGGUAAACAACUAGGAGCAAUAUUUGAAGAGUUCCUCUGAGAUGACAGCAUAAGAAGACCCUGAACUCACCUCCCGUGGACACACUGAUUUUACACCUACAUACAGAGCAAUUUCUCCUGAAGAAGAACUGAGGGCUGAUUGAACAGCUUCUGCACAACUGACCAUAGAGGGACCACACAGAGACAGUUGUCCUCAUUCUACUCUAAGCCUGUUUCUUCAACUGUAGAAAGAGAAUACAUGCCUACCACUCUGACACCUGGAUGCUCCACCCCUGGUGCUGAGUAGCUGCCUCCCCUUAGCACUGGGUGCUGCCGACCCUGCUGCUGGUGCUCAAGAAAUCUCCUUGCUCUUCUUGCUCCUCUCUGUCCCCUGUUUCAAGGUCUGGAGCCGGUAUAUGGAACAUUUGAGGCCUGAGAUGUUAAUUGCAAAUGAUGC